GAUCAAGCUCUUGCUUUCAGGAAGUAAAACUAACUUUGGAAAUCUUUUGAGGAGACAACAUUUUAUACUUCUAAAUCCUGCAGCAGAUUUAACAGUUUUCUCAACAAAACACUGUUCAGAACCGCAAGAAUAAAAUGACUACAAGUACAAAGGAUCUCAUCCUUAAAGAGCUAGAAGAAUUACUUCAAGAAGAGUACAGAAGAUUUACAUGGAAACUGAGAGAUAUGGGACUGAAAGAAGGAUAUAAACACAUUCCUAAAAGCCAGUUGGAAAAUGCAGAAAGAAUUGAUGUUGUGGACAAGGUGAUUGAUUUCUAUGGUGAUGAUUAUGCUGUGGAGGUCACAGCUGAAACCCUGGUUGCCAUCAACAAGCUUGAUCUUGCCGACAGACUGAAGAGAGACGUACAAAAGUUCACAGAAACUGCAGGUAAAAAUCCACAGACCUUGUCUGCUGACACUCCAGUAACCAGAAGCAGACUCCCAGUUGCCUUACAAAGGCUGAAAGAUGACCACAAAUCCUUCCUAAAAAGAAAGUUUGAAUGUGUAUCCGAAUGUAUUGCUAAACCUGGGGAGCAAUCUCUACUCAAUGAAGUGUUUACCAAAGUACACAUGACAGAGGGUGAAUAUGGAGAGCUGAACUACAAGCAUGAGGUGAGAGAGAUCGAGGUAGCAUCCAAGAAAGGAAGAUCACAGGUUCAACACAUCAAUUGCAAUGACAUUUUCAUACCAAGUGAGAAAAGUCCCAGAAUAAGGACUGUACUAACCAAGGGGAUCGCUGGCAUUGGAAAAUCCUUCUCGGUUCAAAAGUUCAUUCUUGACUGGGCAGCUGGAAAUGACAACAGUGGAUUUGAUUUCAUAUACAUUUUUCCAUUCCGUGAACUCAACUUGAUAAAGAAAGAAAUCAGUCUGGUGGAACUUGUUCAAUUGUAUUAUCCACACCUGAAAGAGUGGGAGGAUGUUUCAUCAGCUGACUCAAAAGUCCUAUUCAUCUUUGAUGGGCUAGAUGAAAGUAGACUUGAGCUGGACUUUGCAAGCUGUAUGAAGCUGAGUGAUAAGAAAACAGCAACUGCCUUGGAUGUUUUGCUGAUCAAUCUUAUAAAAGGAGAUCUGAUUCCCUCUGCGUCUCUUUGGAUAACCUCCAGGCCUGCAGCAACAAGUCAAAUUCCUUCUGAACACAUCAGCAGGGUGACUGAGAUUCAAGGCUUUGAAGAUCAGCAGAAGGAAGAGUACUUCAGGAAGAGAUUCAAAGAUCAAACUCUGACAGAAAAGAUCAUCUCACACAUGAGAACAUUGAGGAGCCUUCAUGUGAUGUGCUAUGUCCCAGCUUUCUGCUGGAUUAUAGCCACUGUUCUGGGACACACAUUGGGUGAGAAUGGCAAUGAGAACAUACCCAGAACCCUGACAGAAGUGUAUACACACUUCCUGCUUGUUUUGCUGACUUUACAGAAUAAGAAACAUGAAAACAGAGAAGAACUACUGAAGCAAAAUCAGGAAGCCAUUCUCAAUUUGGGGAAGUUGGCCUUUCUUAACCUAGAAAGAAACAAGCUGAUCUUUUAUGAACAUGACCUAAGAGAAUGUGGCAUUGAUAUAAGACAGUCAUCAGUUUACUCUGGGGUUUGCAGAGAAAUAUUCAAGGAAGAUCCAACCUUUCUUAAAGACACUGUAUAUUCCUUUGUGCAUCUGACAGUGCAGGAAUAUUUUGCAGCUUUGUAUGUUUUUACAUCAUUUCAAAACAAAACUGCACUGAAAAAACUGCUCUUUGCUCUUCGUAGACACCGUUUAUGUGAUGUGUAUAACAAUGCAUUGAGCAAAGCUAGUAAGAGCAGAAAUGGUCACCUUGAUCUUUUUGUCAGGUUCCUCUUGGGCCUUGGGAUGGAAAAAAAUCAAAAGCUGUUGAAAGGCCUUUUGUUAGAAACAGAAGACAAUUUAACGGAUGUCCAAAAUACAACAGAGUACAUUAAACAGCUGAUUAAGAUGAAUACCUUUCCAGAAAGAAGUCUCAAUCUCUUUCAUUGUUUAAGUGAACUGAAUGACAAUUCUCUUGUUGAGGAGAUCAAGGUGUCCCUGACCUCAGGAAAUCUUUCACGACAGAAACUUUCACCAUCAGAUUGCUCUGCACUUGCCUAUGUGUUACUAAUGUCAGAAGAUGAAUUGGAUACAUUGGACUUGAGCCGUCACUCACUGGGAGACGAGGCUCUGCUGAGACUGGUGCCAGCUGCAAGAUUACAUAAAAGACUGAUAUUGGAGUGGUGUGAUCUCACAGGGGAUUGCUGUGAGGACCUGGCCUCUGCUCUCUGUACAAACCAGUCAACCCUGAGAGAGCUGGAGCUGGGAUGGAAUAAGCUGGGGGAAUCCGGAAUGAAGCUGACUGCUGCACUGAAGCAUCCAAACUGUAAAUUAGAGAAACUGGGGCUGGAGUGGUGUGAUCUCACAGGGGAUUGGUGUGAGGACCUGGCCUCUGCUCUCUGUACAAACCAGACAACCCUGAGAGAGCUGCAGCUGAGAGGGAAUAACCUAGGGAAAUCCGGAAUGAAGCUGACUGCUGCACUGAAGCAUCCAAACUGUAAAUUAGAGAAACUGGGGCUGGAGCGGUGUGAUCUCACAGAGCAUUGCUGUGAGGACCUGGCCUCUGCUCUCUGUACAAACCAGUCAACCCUGAGAGAGCUGGAGCUGGGAUGGAAUAACCUGGGAAAAUCAGGAAUGAAGCUGCUGUCUUCUGCACUGAAUCUUCCAAGCUGUAAAAUAGAGAAACUGGGGCUGGAGCGCUGUGAUCUCACAGUGGAUUGUUGUGAAGACCUGGCCUCUGCUCUCUGUACAAACCAAUCAACCCUGAGAGAGCUGCAGUUGGGAGAGAAUAACCUGGGGGAAUCGGGAAUUAAGCUGACUGCUGCACUGAAGCAUCCAAACUGUAAAUUAGAGAAACUGGGGCUGGGGCAGUGUGAUCUCACAAGGGAUUGUUGUGAGGACCUGGCCUCUGCUCUCUGUACAAACCAGUCAACCCUGAGAGAGCUGGAGCUGAGAGGGAAUAAGCUGGGGGAAUCGGGAAUGAAGCUGACUGCUGCACUGAAGCAUCCGAACUGUAAAUUAGAGAAACUGGGGCUGGGGCGGUGUGAUCUCACAGGGGAUUGCUGUGAGGACCUGGCCUCUGCUCUCUGUACAAACCAGUCAACUCUGAGAGAGCUGCAGCUGGGAGGGAAUCACCUGGGGGAAUCGGGAAUGAAGCUGCUGACUGCCGCACUGAAGCAUCCAAACUGUAAAUUAGAGAAACUGCGGCUGGAGGGGUGUGGUCUCCCAAGGGGUUGCUGUGAGGACCUGGCCUCUGCUCUCUGUACAAACCAGUCAACCCUGAGAGAGUUGGAACUGAGAGAGAAUAAGCUGGGGGAAUCGGGAAUGAAGCUGACUGCAGCACUGAAGCAUCCAAACUGUAAAUUAGAGAAACUGGGGUAAGUAAACACUGAGUGUUUGUGUGAAUAUUACAUUACUGAUAGGGAGGAAUGACAAGGGGGAUGAGAGAGGAAGAAAGAAUGACAGCAGGGAAAGAGAUAGAGAUAUGGAGAAAGAGAGAAAGAACAAAAGGGAGAAGAAAGAGAAAGACCCAGCUUUCGCCAAAAUAGAAAGACCAUGUCCCCCUGUUGCAACCAUGGCUUCAAGAGGUUUAUAUGAUAAAUGUGCUUUUCUUCCCAACCCGGCGUGUAACCUCAAAAGAUCCUUGCCAGUAGUUUACCCACCGACCCACAGACUCAAGACACUUGCAGAGGUCCAAUACAUACCGGACUGUAUUAGUCGAAUUAUCCUGCUGUUCCUCCCACAUCUCUCUGACCAGAAUGAGCACACCCCAGGGUCUCCAUCCGUACAGAAGCUUGAAUGGAGAAAACCCUGUGGAAGCCUGGGGAACCUCUCUGAUAGCAAAGAGAAGGGGAGGAAUCAGCUGGUCUCAGUUGUGCACUUCACUAUCAAUAAAUCUACACAACAUGCUUUUCAGGGUUUUAUUAAAACGCUCCAGAAGCCCAUCGGUCUGGGGGUGGUAAAUCGAGGUCCUGAUGGUCUUAAUCCCCAAAAGUUUACACGUUUCGCAGACCAGCCGCAACAUAAAGCUGAUACCUUGGUCGGUCAGCAUUUCUUUGGGGAUCCCCACCCGGGAGAAAACCUUCACUAGCUUGUUGGAGACAGAUUUAGCAGAUGCAAAGCAGAGUGGGAUGGCCUCCGGAACAUGUAGCGUAAUCCAAAAUGACCAACAGGUGUUCGUAUCCUGCCGCACUCCUCUCUAGCGGUCCGACUAUAUCCACCUGUGUUAAGGAUGGUGUUGUGGUGCAAAAUAACCAAAGGCAGUCCAAACAAUAAUAGGUUUUGAAAGUAACCUGGUUGUUUAUUUAAAUCAAAGCAACAAAAAGCUAAUUAAUUAUUAACAAACGCUGCCGGUUACCAGCAAUUGUAACUCGGCAGCAAAACAAGGCUCAGUCCCAAAAUAAUAAUAAUAAAUAAUCCUGCUGCUGGGCAGCGCUAUACAGCUAUGCUUCCUUUCCACGAUCGCAGCUGUGCUGGUGCAAUCCAGGUUUAAUGCCGCGGGGUCUGACCGUACUGUGCAGUGAGGUGCUGUGCUGUGUUGGGCUGAGCAGGGGAAAGUGCUGUGGAUCCUUUGCUGGUUCUGUGGCGUCAGUGUCUGAUUCCUAUUCCUCUGCAAUACACAAAUCAACCUGUGCUCCGGUGAAUUAACACACAGCCACAGGUAAAUGUCAACAUAACUGCCUCCCUCUUGAAACACAAAACUCCUCUCUGCAAUCAGACUGGCGGCACACUGUACCAAUCACCACGCAACAACCAGCUGAUUACAAUAGACUUGUUUAGUGUUACUGCAGCUAGGGCCCGCAUGUGAGUUUGGCAAGCCUUGAGUUUGGCCAUCUUGAGGAAAGCGCAACACUGACCUUAUCAAACGCUCCUUCUGGUUGGGAAGUAGUCCUACAGCUCGGAUCCCUUCGCUCUCUGUCAUACUACCCCAAUACGCUGAAACGGAUCUUUCACUAGCGGCAACGGCGCACCAGUGGGGCCCAUGGGACGGCACUUCCUGCAGCGCUCACAAAAACACUGCACAUCACCAUCUAGCCCCAGCCAAAAGAAAUGUGUCACAAGCCUCACUUUGGUUUUGUCCCAUUCCAAAUGCCCGGAGAGGGGAAUAGCGUGAGCCAGUUGUAAUAAGUCCUCCCUAAAAGGCCGAGUAAUGAGCAACUGGUGACGAACUUCCCCCAUUUGGGGUCAUUUUACAACCCAAUACAAGAGAUCUUGAUUAAUUUCAAAGUGGGGGUACAUGGCGCUGGCUCCAUGGCCUUCCCCCAGACUCAUCACCAAUCGCCCCCAGCUGAAACUUUUCAGACUCCCUCCAUUGCCAGCUCUAAUUCUUAGCAGCCCGAACUUCCUGUUUAGUUUUUUGAGGGUUAAAUCUAUGGCAAAAUCAUGCCAGGUCACGAAAGGGGAAGAUCUCUCCAAUUACAUCCUCUUUCUUAGCCAAUAGGGAGGACAGGGCCGUCAAAGCAACCAACCAAUCUUUUGAACUGCUUGCAGUACCACCCCAGAUUGACAGGCAGUGGCAAAUGAGGACACAAACCCACUUGUACACGCGUCACCUGCUGGCCAUUUUUUUAUUUAUAGUAACCUUUGGAUAGGUAAGCAUAUCCCCAUGAAUGCAUUUAAUAUGAACCCGUCCCGUUACUUGUUUAUGCCGCGGUGAGAUUAACCCGUAUUGUAUUAGGGACUGACCACACCCUGAAUCCAAGAGAGCUUGGGUUUGUGUAACAUCCAUUGUCACAGGAAGGACAAAAGUCAUCUGCUGGAGUGUCUGAGGUAAUUGAACAGUCUUACCAGGACGGAUGAGGUCACACUCCAUGGCUGGGUCUUACAGGGCUUUUGACCCCCUGCACAGGAGCACGAAUGCACCCGAUAGCCAGCAUAGAUCUCUCCCUGUUACAGAAAUAGAAUGAUAUUUGGUGGUAAAUCUCCCUCCCGACCUGUGAGGGUGCUAAGUAAUGGGAACAGAGUACCCUGGAAUGUUUGGC